UGGGGAAUCAUAGACAAUGGGCGCAAGCCUGAUCUUGCCAUGCCGCGUGAGCGAUGAAGGCCUUAGGGUUGUAAAGCUCUUUCACCGGUGAAGAUAAUGACGGUAGCCGGAGAAGAAGCCCCGGCUAACUCCGUGCCAGCAGCCGUGGUAAUACGGAGGGGGCUAGCGUUGUUCGGAAUUACUGGGCGUAAAGCGCGCGUAGGCGGGCUGUUAAGUCGGGGGUGAAAUCCCGGGGCUCAACCCCGGAACGGCCUUCGAUACUGGCAGCCUCGAGUCCGGGAGAGGUGAGUGGAAUGGCGAGUGUAGAGGUGAAAUUCGUAGAUAUUUGGAGGAACACCAGUGGCGAAGGCGGCUCACUGGCUCGAUACUGACGCUGAGGUGCGAAAGUGUGGGGAGCAAACAGGAUUAGAUACCCGUGUAGUCC
rnacentral:rRNA from 1 species